UGGUCCUAGCCUUGAAAUCAACUACUACUCAGCUUAUACAUGCAAGUCUCCGCACCCCUGUGAAAACGCCCUUAUAUCACCUUAGGAUUCAGGAGCCGGUAUCAGGCGCUAACCAUUAAGCCCAAGACACCUAGCUAUGCCACACCCACAAGGGUAUUCAGCAGUAAUUAACAUUGACCAUAAGCGAAAGCUUGACUCAGCCAGGGUAAACAGGGCCGGCAAAUCUGGUGCCAGCCGCCGCGGCCAUACCAGAGGCCCAAGCUGAUUUCACUCGGCGUAAAGCGUGAUUAAAGUAACCCUAAACUGCAGUCAAACCAGAACUAGGUCGUGAAAAUCCUGAGCCUGGGGGGCACAAAAACGAAAGUAACUGCAACACAACUCCACUUGACCUCACGACAGCUAGGGUACAAACUGGGAUUAGAUACCCCACUAUGCCUAGCCGUAAACUUUAAUUUACACCCAAAUCGCCAGGGAACUACGAGCAACGCUUAAAACCCAAAGGACUUGACGGUGCCCCAUAUCCACCUAGAGGAGCCUGUCCUGUAAUCGACAACCCCCGUUAAACCUCACCACUCCUUGCUUUUUCAGCCUGUAUACUUCCGUCGUCAGCUUACCACGUGAGCGAUUCCCAGUAAGCGAGAAGGCCUACACCAAAACGUCAGGUCAAGGUGCAGCUUAUGGAGUGGGAAGAGAUGGGCUACACUCUCUACUUUAGAGAACACGAAUGAUUUAACAUGAAACAUUAUCAGAAGGCGGAUUUAGUAGUAAAGGGGGACAAGAGUGCCCCCUUUAACACGGCCCUGGGGUGUGUACAUACCGCCCGUCAUCCUCUUCGAAGCAACAAGAGCAGUAUUUAACAACAUUUAGCUACUAAGAAGAGGCAAGUCGUAACAUGGUAAGCUUACCGGAAGGUGUGCUUGGAAA
rnacentral:ncRNA from 1 species